GGAAAGUAAAAGUCGUAACAAGGUUUCCGUAGGUGAACCUGCGGAAGGAUCAUUCAUAAUAAAGUGUUUUAUGGCACUUUUUAAAAAUCCAUAUCCACCUUGUGUGCAAUGUUAGAUCUCGUCAAUCUUGGCGAGAUUUUUAUACAUCAACUCAUUCUUUAACUAAUUUGUCUGAAAAAUAUUAUGAAUACUUAAUUCAAAAUACAACUUUCAACAACGGAUCUCUUGGCUCUC
rnacentral:misc_RNA from 1 species